CCUACGGGUGGCAGCAGUGGGGAAUAUUCCACAAUGGGCGAAAGCCUGAUGCAGCCAUGCAGCGUGCACGAUGAAGGCCUUCGGGUUGUAAAGUACUUUUAGCGGGGAGGAAGGGUGUAAAUUGAAAACCUUUGCUCAUUGACGUUACCUGCAGAGAAAGCACCGGCUAACUGCGUGCCAGCAGCCGCGGUAAUACGGAGGUUGCAAGCGUUAUUCGGAAUUAUUGGGCGUAAAGCGAUCGGAGGCGGUUUGUUAAGUCAGAUGUGAAAGCCCCGGGCUCAACCUGGGAACUGCAUCUGAUACUGGCAAGCUUGAGUCUCGUAGAGGGGGGUAGAAUUCCAGGUGUAGCGGUGAAAUGCGUAGAGAUCUGGAAGAAUACCGGGGGCGAAGGCAGCCCCCUGGACGAAGACUGACGCUGAGGUGCGAAAGCGUGGGGAGCAAACAGGAUUAGAUACCCCAGUAGUC
rnacentral:rRNA from 1 species